AGCACGACUGGCUGCAGCUGCUCUGUGUCCAAGGCUGGUGACUGAAGUUUGGUUGCUUUAGUGUAGGAUGAGGGUGCCCAAGUGAAGUAUUGAGCUUCAGAGGAGAUGACCAGUUGCCAAAUAUGCAUAUACAGAAGUGGCUCCCACCUACUGCAACAGCCUGGAUGUUCAUCCACAUGCGGAUCUAAAGAAUGGAGCUUCUUCUAGGAGUGUAAAGGGGCAUCAGAUUUUGUUAAACUUUCUGGGCUGAAAUAAAUUGCAAUAAUGUGUACAGCAGCCUUGGGAAGAAACAAGAAGUGACAGAGACGUGUGGCUCUACAGGAGGCUCAAGGCACUUUUCACAAACUUCAGAACCAUUCAGCAUCACAAACCAUUUUCUCUGGGAAAUCCUUCCUGCUCUGCAUCUGCAGCCCCCACGAGCCUUGAUCUGGGAAUUGCUGCUAUCAGCUGCCUGCAGUGUUCUACUCCCGCCUUAUCUUCUCCUGACACAGAAAGGACACUGUCAAUUGCUAAUCAACCUUGAGCCCACACAUCUCCCUGAAGCAUCAGCAGUAUCUCCA